AUGGGAUCGAUCAGUGUUUAUGGUGGUCCUAAUGGAUUCAGCUUUGUUGUUUGGAAGGUGAACAAAUACGUGGAAGAUGGUUUGAUGUAUGUUGCUCGAAACUUUGUUGCGACAUCACCAGCAUCAUACAGUAAAGUUAAAUUUCUGUUCAAUUACCAUGGCAUCAGUCUUUUAGUUGCUGAUGUUUCUGCUAGUUGAUGGUUCUCUAAAUCAUAUAACUCAAAGUCUGGCAUUUGAUAGAGUAGAAUAUGCAACUCAAA
rnacentral:misc_RNA from 1 species